AUGUGGCAUGACCCCGGGGCCCAGUGGGAGGAAAGGGGAGGGAAAGGGUCCAGGCUGCCCCAGCGACAUCUGCCCACUUUUAAGCAGCUUUCCCAGAAGCCCCUCCCAAGAACUCCGACUUCUGCUUCUGUUGCACGCCUGGCCACCCUAACCGUGAGGAAGCAGGAAGCGAAUGUGGUACUUUCCCAGCUGCCCACACUGCCGGCCAGAAGAGUCAGGGUGCUCUGGGACACAGAGAAGCUCAUUUGGGAACUCUCCACCAGCACUGCCGACAUGCGGGCCACGGUCAACGCCAUCAGAGACAGCCUGCUCCAUGGCAUCAAAUGAGGGAUCACCACCUUGAAAAAGCAGCUGGAGAGGGAGCACAGCUUCAGGUUGCAGAAGUUACAGCUGGUGGCCCGGGAGUGGGAGGCCCCCGCGACAGCUGUAGCAGCAGAUGAAGAUGCUCCUGCAGCAUCACUCGAGUGAGCGCAGUUUCUCCAGGAGCAAAAGGGCUCAAGGUCGAGAUGGAGAGAUUCAUGGAGGGCAGCAUGUCCCCCAGGUCCCUGCCAAGGACAGUGUUUCCCUCUGGCGCUAUUUUUUAAGAGCUCAUUAAAGGAGUAGACAUCACUGCCUCUUGUGCCCUCUGAGACCAACCAAGUGCUGGCCAGCUCGGCCGGGCUCCUCAAGGCCUGGCAGGCAGGCUGCGCUGCUCAGGGCCGUCUGCCCCCACAAGCGCUUAAGGAUAUUUUGUUCAAGGCAGUGUUGGGCUCCGUGCCAAAAGCCAGUGAAGAGGCAAAGCUUCCUGGAAACCCGUCUUGUUCCUCCUUUGCCUCUUCUCCCAGCAAGUCCUCUGCACAGGGAGCUGAGCUUGGGUCUAGAGAGUCCACUGUAUAAUGCAGUAUUUGUGCUUCAAAAUGUCCGUGACCUUUAUCAUUUUGCUGCAACUUGAAAGUUGCUGGACUUCACUUCUUAAAAAGAAAAAAAAAAAAGAGGCUGGCCCCAUGGCCGAGUGGUUAAGUUCACACGUUCUGCUUUGGUGGCCCGGGGUUUCGUCUGUUCAGAUCCUGGGCAUGGACAUGGCACCCCUCGUGAGGCCACGCUCGGGCGGUGUCCCACAUCCCACAACUAGAAGGACCCACAACUAAAAAUAUACAACUAUGUACUGGGGGGCUUUGGGGAGUAGAAUUAAAAAAAAAAAAGAUUGGCAACACUUGUUAGCUCAGGUGCCAAUCUUUAAAAGCAAAAGAAGAUAUUUUCCACAUUGUAGUUUUUCUCUUGAUUUGGGGUGUGAUGUUGUUAAUUGAUCGUCCAAAACUUUUUCCUUUUUUUUGUUAAUGGAUAUCUGCUUAAAAAGCUUGUUGCUUACGGCUCACACAGGCGUCUUUGAACCUUCAGGGCUGCUGGUAUGGCUGGAGGAGUGGGUGGCGCAGGAGGUGAGUUCUUGGCACAACUGAACAGAACAGCUCUGUGCUCCGAUGACCGACUGUGCGCUUGUAGCUCAGCUGAGCCCCAGACACUAGAAAGCACAAUGGCAACAGCUCCCCCAAAAACGAAACCUUUGGCUUGCUCUGCCCCGUGGCUUUUCUUCUUUUUCCAUCACAAUAACUACAAUUUGUUGAAUGCUUAGUAUACACUACUAGGGACUCUUUAUGUUAAUAAGUUAAUUCCAUUCUGAAAAUAACUGAAAGAGAUGAAAAUUCUUAUCUCCACUUUAUAGGAGGAACCUCAGGGUCAGAGAAUUUCAAUAACUAGCCCAAGAUGACACAGUCAUUGAACGGGUGGACUAUAACGCAAAUCCAGGGCCACCUGGUGGAGGCCUGGCUUCCUCCAGCCCACCCCAGUGUCUGAAGGCAGGACUGAUCUGGAAAUACCUCCUUAAAGAACACCGCUGCCCUCCUUCAGGAGGGAGCUCACGCUUCUUAAUUCCAGCCCACCAGAGUUUGGUAAACAUCUACCAUGAAGUCCAUCAGUGUUUAUGGAAUCCUUAGUAGCACCUACUAUGCACCAGCAUUGCAUUUAAUGCUUCCCGUGAGCAACAUGACGGAUGUCCCCCUCAGGAGGGGAGACGUAGAGGCCCCGCUGUGCAGAUGAAGGCCCUGAGAGGAGGUCAGCGAUCUGUCCAGAACCGCACAGUGAGCAGCAUGGCAGAAAUGUGGAUUCCCAAUGUCAUUCUCAAGCCCACCCUCCUCCCAGCCACCUCACUGUCAGUCGUGACUGGUUGCAAGUGACAGAGGGAAAGGGCAGGGUGGCCUCAGGAGUGACGAGACUCAGACCUAGUUGCUGUCAGAAGCCUCUGCUUCUCAAUGCUUGUUCUGUGUCUGUCCUGCAGAAUGACCUCCUCUCUCUUGUUACAGCUUGGCGUCCCAGGCUAAGAGGUUCCCUCCUCCCAGUUCCUGUUUAAUAUGUUCCCAGGAAAGAACUCUCUUGGCCUAGACCAAACCCCACGACCCAAGUGGGGCAGGAGCCGGGCCCCAAGGAGGCGGUGGUGAGGCCACGAACAGAUGACCAUGGAGCCAGGCUCCGAAUAAAAAUGAAGCAGGCUGGGGGGCGGUGGGCUGU
rnacentral:lncRNA from 1 species